GUAGGGCCCAUCAGUACAAGUAAUGCAGGAACCUGCUGUUGGAUGGCACCUGAAGUCCAUGCAUGUUUUACAAGAAGUGUACAUUAUAACUACAAGGUGGAUGUGUGGUCUUUAGGAAUCACAGCCAUAGAAAUGGCAGAAUACAAUCCUCCACACAUUAAACUCCGUGGUACUGAGCUUUCCGAAAGGAUUAUGAAUGGUCCAGCUCCA